rnacentral:tRNA from 1 species
CGGGGCGUAGCUCAACCUGGUAGAGCGCCCGGCUGUAGACCGGGUGGUUGUGGGUUCAAAUCCCACCGCCCCGA